CGGCGAACGGGUGAGUAACACGUGGGUGACCUGCCCUCAGCUCUGGGAUAAGCCUGGGAAACUGGGUCUAAUACCGGAUAUGACCUCUCAUCGCAUGGUGGGUGGUGGAAAGUUUUUUCGGCUGGGGAUGGGCCCGCGGCCUAUCAGCUUGUUGGUGGGGUGAUGGCUUACCAAGGCGACGACGGGUAGCCGGCCUGAGAGGGCGACCGGCCACACUGGGACUGAGACACGGCCCAG
rnacentral:rRNA from 1 species